rnacentral:rRNA from 1 species
CGCGUAGGCGGUGGUAUAAGUCUGAGGUGGAAUCCUACAGCUUAACUAUAGGACUGCCUUGGAAACUGUAUUACUUGAGUCGGACAGGGGAAGGCGGAAUUCCUGGUGUAGCGGUGAAAUGCGUAGAUAUCAGGAGGAAGGCCUGUGGUGAAGACGGCCUUUCUGGGUCUUGACUGACGCUGAGGCGCGAAAGCGUGGGGUAGCAAACAGGAUUAGAUACCCUGGUAGUCCACGCCCUAAACGGUGGGUACUAGGUGUGGGAUCUGUAAGGGUUCUGUGCCGAAGGGAAACCAUUAAGUACCCCGCCUGGGAAGUACGGCCGCAAGGUUGAA